GAUGAACGCUGGCGGCGUGCCUAAUACAUGCAAGUCGAGCGAACAGACGAGGAGCUUGCUCCUCUGACGUUAGCGGCGGACGGGUGAGUAACACGUGGAUAACCUACCUAUAAGACUGGGAUAACUUCGGGAAACCGGAGCUAAUACCGGAUAAUAUAUUGAACCGCAUGGUUCAAUAGUGAAAGACGGUUUUGCUGUCACUUAUAGCUGGAUCCGCGCCGCAUUAGCUAGUUGGUAAGGUAACGGCUUACCAAGGCAACGAUGCGUAGCCGACCUGAGAGGGUGAUCGGCCACACUGGAACUGAGACACGGUCCAGACUCCUACGGGAGGCAGCAGUAGGGAAUCUUCCGCAAUGGGCGAAAGCUUGACGGAGCAACGCCGCGUGAGUGAGGAAGGUCUUCGGAUCGUAAAACUCUGUUAUUAGGGAAGAACAAAUGUGUAAGUAACUAUGCACGUCUUGACGGUACCUAAUCAGAAAGCCACGGCUAACUACGUG
rnacentral:rRNA from 1 species